rnacentral:pre_miRNA from 1 species
AAAGAGACAAACCCUGGUUUUCGUGUCCAACGUUUGACCGUCCGUCUUAUUUUAAAAAAUUAUAAAAAAAAUUAAAAAGAUAAGUCACGCAUAAAGUAUUAAUCAUGUUUUAUCAUCUAACAGCAAUGAAAAUACUAAUUAUAAAAAAAUUUCAUAUAAGACGGACAGUUAAACGUUGGCACGGAAACCCAGGGUUUGUCUUUUA